GACGACGCUGGCGGCGUGCCUAACACAUGCAAGUCGAGCGGGGUUGAGGCGAGAGGUAACUCGAACUUCUACCUAGCGGCGGACGGGUGAGUAACGCGUGGGCAACCUGCCUCAAGGUUUGGGAUAACAGCCCGAAAGGGCUGCUAAUACCGGAUAUGCCUAUGGCCUCGCAUGGGGCUAUGAGCAAAGGGGAAACCCGCCUUGAGAUGGGCCCGCGUCCCAUCAGCUAGUUGGUGAGGUAACAGCUCACCAUGGCGACGACGGGUAGCCGGCCUGAGAGGGUGACCGGCCACACUGGGACUGAGACACGGCCCAGACUCCUACGGGGGGCAGCAGUGGGGGAUCUUGCACAAUGGGCGAAAGCCUGAUGCAGCGACGCCGCGUGAGCGAAGAAGGCCUUCGGGUUGUAAAGCACUUUUUGGAGGGAUGAGGAAGGACAGUACCUCCAGAAUAAGCCUCGGCUAACUACGUG
rnacentral:rRNA from 1 species